rnacentral:ncRNA from 2 species
UCUUUAUCCAGAGAGGUGGAGGGACUGGCCCGAUGAAGCCCGGCAACCGUCACGUAUAUUUUGUGACAAGGUGCCAAUUCCUGCAGGACAUUUACGUGUCCUGGGAGAUAAGGA